GAUGAACGCUGGCGGCGUGCCUAAUACAUGCAAGUCGAGCGAACAGACGAGGAGCUUGCUCCUCUGACGUUAGCGGCGGACGGGUGAGUAACACGUGGAUAACCUACCUAUAAGACUGGGAUAACUUCGGGAAACCGGAGCUAAUACCGGAUAAUAUAUUGAACCGCAUGGUUCAAUAGUGAAAGACGGUUUUGCUGUCACUUAUAGAGGGAUCCGCGCCGCAUUAGCUAGUUGGUAAGGUAACGGCUUACCAAGGCAACGAUGCGUAGCCGACCUGAGAGGGUGAUCGGCCACACUGGAACUGAGACACGGUCCAGACUCCUACGGGAGGCAGCAGUAGGGAAUCUUCCGCAAUGGGCGAAAGCCUGACGGAGCAACGCCGCGUGAGUGAUGAAGGUCUUCGGAUCGUAAAACUCUGUUAUUAGGGAAGAACAAAUGUGUAAGUAACUAUGCACGUCUUGACGGUACCUAAUCAGAAAGCCACGGCUAACUACGUG
rnacentral:rRNA from 1 species